rnacentral:rRNA from 1 species
GACGAACGCUGGCGGCGUGCUUAACACAUGCAAGUCGAACGGUAAGGCCCUUCGGGGUACACGAGUGGCGAACGUGUGAGUAACACGUGGGUGAUCUGCCCUGCACUUCGGGAUAAGCCUGGGAAACUGGGUCUAAUACCGGAUAGGACCACUGCCUGCAUGGGUGGUGGUGGAAAGCUUUUGUGGUGUGGGAUGGGCCCGCGGCCUAUCAGCUUGGUGGUGGGGUGAUGGCCUACCAAGGCGACGACGGGUAGCCGGCCUGAGAGGGUGACCGGCCACACUGGGACUGAGAUACGGCCCAGACUCCUACGGGAGGCAGCAGUGGGGAAUAUUGCACAAUGGGCGCAAGCCUGAUGCAGCGACGCCGCGUGAGGGAUGACGGCCUUCGGGUUGUAAACCUCUUUCAGCACCGACGAAGCGCAAGUGACGGUAGGUGCAGAAGAAGGACCGGCCAACUACGUGCCAGCCGCCGCGGUAA